UCGGGUACUUUAGUGGCGAACGGGUGAGUAAUACAUAGGUAACCUACCCUUAAGACGAGGAUAGCCAUUGGAAACGAUGGAUAAAACUGGAUAGGAUAUAGAGGAAGAAUCUUUUAUAUUUAAAAGAGAGAUCUGCUUAAGGUGGGGCCUGUGGCGCAUUAGCUAGUUGGUGGGGUAAGGGCCUACCAAGGCGAUGAUGCGUAGCCGGACUGAGAGGUUGAACGGCCACAAUGGAACUGAGAACGGUCCAUACUCCUACGGGAGGCAGCAGUAGGGAAUUUUCGGCAAUGGGGGGAACCCUGACCGAGCAACGCCGCGUGAACGAAGAAGUUAUUCGUAAUGUAAAGUUCUUUUAUCAGGGAAGAAAGAGGAAUUUGACGGUACCUGAGGAAUAAGCUCCGGCUAACUACGUGCCAGCAGCCGCGGUAAUACGUAGGGAGCGAGCGUUAUCCGGAAUUAUUGGGCGUAAAGGGUGCGUAGAUGGCAUAGUAAGUCUUUUGUAAAAAUGCUGGGCUCAACCCAGUAGGGCAAAAGAUACUGCAAAGCUAGAGUAUGACAGAGGCAAGUGGAACUACAUGUGUAGCGGUAAAAUGCGUAAAUAUAUGUAAGAACACCAGUGGCGAAGGCGGCUUGCUGGGUCGAUACUGACAUUGAGGCACGAAAGCGUGGGGAGCAAACAGGAUUAGAUACCCUGGUAGUCCACGCCCUAAACGAUGAGUACUAAGUGUUGGUGAGAAUCAGUGCUGAAGUUAACGCAUUAAGUACUCCGCCUGAGUAGUACGUACGCAAGUAUGAAACUUAAAGGAAUUGACGGGAGCCCGCACAAGCGGUGGAGCAUGUUGUUUAAUUCGACGAUACGCGAAGAACCUUACCAGGUCUUGA
rnacentral:rRNA from 1 species